rnacentral:rRNA from 1 species
UACGUAGGGUGCGAGCGUUAAUCGGAAUUACUGGGCGUAAAGCGUGCGCAGGCGGUUUUAUAAGCCAGAUGUGAAAUCCCCGGGCUUAACCUGGGAAUGGCGUUUGGGACUGGGAGUCUGGAGUGCGGCAGAGGAGACUGGAAUUCCUGGUGUAGCAGUGAAAUGCGUAGAUAUCAGGAGGAACACCGAUGGCGAAGGCAGGUCUCUGGGCUGACACUGACGCUCAUGCACGAAAGCGUGGGGAGCAAACAGG